rnacentral:rRNA from 1 species
UGGGGAAUUCUGGACAAUGGGCGAAAGCCUGAUCCAGCAAUGCCGCGUGUGUGAAGAAGGCCUUCGGGUUGUAAAGCACUUUUGUCCGGAAAGAAAUCCCUGGCUCUAAUACAGUCGGGGGAUGACGGUACCGGAAGAAUAAGCACCGGCUAACUACGUGCCAGCAGCCGCGGUAAUACGUAGGGUGCGAGCGUUAAUCGGAAUUACUGGGCGUAAAGCGUGCGCAGGCGGUCUGUUAAGACAGAUGUGAAAUCCCCGGGCUCAACCUGGGAACUGCAUUUGUGACUGGCAGGCUAGAGUAUGGCAGAGGGGGGUAGAAUUCCACGUGUAGCAGUGAAAUGCGUAGAGAUGUGGAGGAAUACCGAUGGCGAAGGCAGCCCCCUGGGCCAAUACUGACGCUCAUGCACGAAAGCGUGGGGAGCAAACA